GAUGAACGCUAGCGGCAGGCCUAAUACAUGCAAGUCGAGGGGUAACAGGAAGUGCUUGCACUUCGCUGACGACCGGCGCACGGGUGAGUAACGCGUAUACAAUCUACCUCAUACUAGAGGAUAGCCCGAAGAAAUUUGGAUUAACACUCUAUAGUAUCAUUUAAAGACAUCUUUUUAUGAUUAAAGGUUACGGUAUGAGAUGAGUAUGCGUUCUAUUAGUUUGUAGGUGAGGUAACGGCUCACCUAGACUGCGAUAGAUAGGGGCCCUGAGAGGGGGACCCCCCACACUGGUACUGAGACACGGACCAGACUCCUACGGGAGGCAGCAGUAAGGAAUAUUGGUCAAUGGACGAAAGUCUGAACCAGCCGUGCCGCGUGCAGGAUGAAUGCCCUAUGGGUUGUAAACUGCUUUUAUAUAGGAAGAAAAACUUUCUCGUG
rnacentral:rRNA from 1 species